CCAGUCUCGGCGCAUUCGUAAACAAACCCUCGUUCAGUUCGGACGCAGCGAACACCCGAAGACCCCCUCACCCCAUCACCAGUGUAAUACACUUUGACUUCUUGUUUUGUGGUCAUCGAGACUGCCUGCACGACGGGAAAAUGUAGGCGAGCGGGCACCGGUGCGGAGCGCGACAGUUUACCUGCACCCUACGGGGUCGGUGCUUGGACAAUCCGUACGCGACGAUAACAGGCGUGAUUAGAACUUGAAAUUCCUUCACACUUCGAACACACAAAUAUGAGAAGAGAACUUCGAGAUAUAGUCUAGUGCAGAUUCGUAGUUUGAUCUGUGAAACCGUCGGCACCGUCUCUGCCCUCUUCUAAUACCGCACACUGAGGCUCUCACGGCAUUGGGAACGUUGGAAUUGAAAGGCAAAAAAAUCAAACAUGUAACGUAAGCCGUACCAGCUAACAAAGACGAGAGGGAGAGUGAGAGUGGAG